GGCGGAGUUGCAGAGGGAGGAGGAGAGGCAGGAGGAGGAGCAGCAGAGCGAAGAGAGCGUGAAGUUGUUUGUAGGUCAAGUACCGAAGCACAUGACGGAAUCACAACUUGUCGAAAUGUUUCAAGAGUUUGCUAUUGUUGAUGAAGUCAACAUCAUCAAAGACAAAACUACGCGUGCUUCUCGAGGUUCUCAAAUUUAUGUCACUCACUUCCUCUAUCACUACUUCUCCGC
rnacentral:misc_RNA from 1 species